rnacentral:misc_RNA from 1 species
CAGACCGCAAACUCGAAAUCCAUCGAUGCCAGAUCAACGAGACCGACAGCAUGGAUUGCUAUUAACGUCGAGCUCGCUUUGACGAGUAUUUGCCUGUGAUGGACACAAGAUCGAGAGAUACUUAAGCGGAGCUGCAAUCCGAAGAUUAGACCGGACAACGUCCUUCAAGUUUGCCGUGGUAAACCGGGCACAGUUGGUGGUGUUCCAAGAAGACAAGUAUCUUGCAUUAAAGAUUAGCCGAAAUUGUGCGAAUUGUAAAUUUAAAAUCGCAUUGGAAACUGAAGAUAGAAUCUCGGAGAUAAUUGAACCUCGUCGAAGCGAUCCUCCUCGACAACGAUGUUUACAACAACUCCACUUCCUUAAAUCGCCAUAUUUGCGAUACGCUCCGCAAUCCCAGCGAGGUAAUCCGACUCUGAUGCCAACGAAUUGACGCGAGAUCGAUCGAAGAAUGCAUUCGUCGGCGCGUGUAAGUACACUGACGCUUGCGUUCGCCCAACAAAUACAGUCAGCUGGUAUCGAUUUCUAUCGAUCUUAGCAUUCGCGUAUGUACACGCGUGCAUUUACGAACCAUGUAGAUUGAAUUGCACGCACGCUGUGUUGGCAUCGAUAUUCUCGGAUACCGAAUUCUUUUAAACGUACGUAAGAAGCGCGGUAAUAUUUUUUAACAUUUUAUCUUAUUAAAAGAUUUUGAAAUUUUAGUAGAAAUUU